rnacentral:lncRNA from 1 species
GGCCACAAUUUGCUUGGAUGAAGCUAAACAUUUAAUGUCUAGCUUGCACCCUCGCCAAUACCGCUGCGUAGAUUGGGCAAGCCGCGGACAGCAUGGAGUGUGCUGACGGGAAGCCCUUAAAGCGGCAAUUCCUGCAGUCCACAGGGUUGGUUCACCGCGCAACGUUGUGGCCGCCUUGUCCGCACCGAUGGCACACGUUCUCCUUAAGACGGCAUUGGGAGACCUUAUGGUCGAAACCCGCACACCUGUGGCAGGCGUAUGUCCGGAC